GCUGGAAAGCUUGGCGAUACAGGGUGAUAGCCCCGUAACCGACGCUUCAUCGAGCGUGAAAUCGAGUAGGGCGGGACACGUGAUAUCCUGUCUGAAUAUGGGGGGACCAUCCUCCAAGGCUAAAUACUCCUGACUGACCGAUAGUGAACCAGUACCGUGAGGGAAAGGCGAAAAGAACCCCUGUGAGGGGAGUGAAAUAGAACCUGAAACCGUGUACGUACAAGCAGUAGGAGCACCUUCGUGGUGUGACUGCGUACCUUUUGUAUAAUGGGUCAGCGACUUAUAUUCAGUGGCAAGGUUAACCGUAUAGGGGAGCCGUAGCG
rnacentral:rRNA from 1 species